UGUGUGUGUGUGUGUGUGUGUGUGUGUGUGUUUGGUUAUAGGUCAGCGUUUAUUUAAAGACACCUCUUUUAUUGGAUCUCUCACAAAGUGUGACCUAGUUUAGCUAGCUGGGCUUUAAAGGGUGCAAGGCUGGGCAUUCAAGGGUUGAUAAGUAGCAGCCUCUGUUUCUGACUUUCACUAUUUCACUACAACUACUCAUUUUGCUUCAAGCAGUACAAUUAUAGGACCUCCUUGUCCUUAGCUCUGGGUAACGUCUGACACAGUUUCACAUGUGACUUUGUCAGUUUCUUCAAGGCUUCUUCAAGGGAUUUCCCCUAAAAACAUGCCAAAUAUAGGAGCAUAAUAAAGUGGUAAAAUGGUAUGGUCUCCAGCAGCAUCCAGGAAGCCCCACCACUUCUCAGGAAAAGACUGUGGCACAAAUAGAAGACUUUCGGGAGCUAAAUGGACCAACAAAAAGCUCUCGUAAAAAAUGACAAAAACAGCAGAGGAGAGAAGGGAUGGAAAUGGGCGUGGGUGAGGAACUAGGCUUUUCCUGCCAUAAUCAGAAGUCAAGAGUAUUUCCUGUCAUUGUAGGAGCUUUAGGCCCAUUAACAAUGCUUAAAAUGUCCAAACACUCAAACUUUUAAUUGUAAUUCCAAAUACUCACAAGUUAUAUUGUAAUAACGUCAU